AAAACAUGGCCAAGUCGCGGGGCAGCAUGGGGGUUGCUUGCAACCCCUGAUGGCGACCGGCGCACGGGUGAGUAACGCGUAUCCAACCUGCCCUUCACCACGGGAUAACCCGGCGAAAGUCGGACUAAUACCGUAUGUUGUCCAUUGACGGCAUCCGAUUUGGACGAAAGGCUUAGCGGUGAGGGAUGGGGAUGCGUCCGAUUAGCUUGACGGCGGGGUAACGGCCCACCGUGGCAACGAUCGGUAGGGGUUCUGAGAGGAAGGUCCCCCACACUGGAACUGAGACACGGUCCAGACUCCUACGGGAGGCAGCAGUGAGGAAUAUUGGUCAAUGGGCGGAAGCCUGAACCAGCCAAGUAGCGUGCAGGAUGACGGCCCUAUGGGUUGUAAACUGCUUUUAUGCGGGGAUAAAGGAGCCCACGUGUGGGUUUUUGCAGGUACCGCAUGAAUAAGGACCGGCUAAUUCCGUGCCAGCAGCCGCGGUAAUACGGAAGGUCCGGGCGUUAUCCGGAUUUAUUGGGUUUAAAGGGAGCGUAGGCCGCCCCUUAAGCGUGUUGUGAAAUGCGGGUGCUCAACAUCCGACUUGCAGCGCGAACUGGGGGGCUUGAGUGCGCCGAAAGUAGGCGGAAUUCGUGGUGUAGCGGUGAAAUGCUUAGAUAUCACGAAGAACUCCGAUUGCGAAGGCAGCUUACUGUAGCGCAACUGACGCUGAUGCUCGAAAGCGUGGGUAUCGAACAGGAUUAGAUACCCUGGUAGUCCACGCGGUAAACGAUGGAUGCUCGUUGUCGGCCCUUGCGGUCGGUGACCAAGCGAAAGCGUUAAGCAUCCCACCUGGGGAGUACGCCGGCAACGGUGAAACUCAAAGGAA
rnacentral:rRNA from 1 species